GCCACGGUGGCCCAGUGGUACGGCGCCAGCCUUGAGAGCUGGUUCCCUUGUGGAUCGGGUGUUCGAAUCACCCCCGUGGCG
rnacentral:tRNA from 5 species